rnacentral:rRNA from 1 species
AAAUUGAAGAGUUUGAUCAUGGCUCAGAUUGAACGCUGGCGGCAGGCCUAACACAUGCAAGUCGAACGGUAACAGGAAGCAGCUUGCUGCUUCGCUGACGAGUGGCGGACGGGUGAGUAAUGUCUGGGAAACUGCCUGAUGGAGGGGAUAACUACUGGAAACGGUAGCUAAUACCGCAUAAUGUCGCAAGACCAAAGAGGGGGACCUUCGGGCCUCUUGCCAUCGGAUGUGCCCAGAUGGGAUUAGCUUGUUGGUGGGGUAACGGCUCACCAAGGCGACGAUCCCUAGCUGGUCUGAGAGGAUGACCAGCCACACUGGAACUGAGACACGGUCCAGACUCCUACGGGAGGCAGCAGUGGGGAAUAUUGCACAAUGGGCGCAAGCCUGAUGCAGCCAUGCCGCGUGUAUGAAGAAGGCCUUCGGGUUGUAAAGUACUUUCAGCGGGGAGGAAGGGAGUAAAGUUAAUACCUUUGCUCAUUGACGUUACCCGCAGAAGAAGCACCGGCUAACUCCGUGCCAGCAGCCGCGGUAAUACGGAGGGUGCAAGCGUUAAUCGGAAUUACUGGGCGUAAAGCGCACGCAGGCGGUUUGUUAAGUCAGAUGUGAAAUCCCCGGGCUCAACCUGGGAACUGCAUCUGAUACUGGCAAGCUUGAGUCUCGUAGAGGGGGGUAGAAUUCCAGGUGUAGCGGUGAAAUGCGUAGAGAUCUGGAGGAAUACCGGUGGCGAAGGCGGCCCCCUGGACGAAGACUGACGCUCAGGUGCGAAAGCGUGGGGAGCAAACAGGAUUAGAUACCCUGGUAGUCCACGCCGUAAACGAUGUCGACUUGGAGGUUGUGCCCUUGAGGCGUGGCUUCCGGAGCUAACGCGUUAAGUCGACCGCCUGGGGAGUACGGCCGCAAGGUUAAAACUCAAAUGAAUUGACGGGGGCCCGCACAAGCGGUGGAGCAUGUGGUUUAAUUCGAUGCAACGCGAAGAACCUUACCUGGUCUUGACAUCCACGGAAGUUUUCAGAGAUGAGAAUGUGCCUUCGGGAACCGUGAGACAGGUGCUGCAUGGCUGUCGUCAGCUCGUGUUGUGAAAUGUUGGGUUAAGUCCCGCAACGAGCGCAACCCUUAUCCUUUGUUGCCAGCGGUCCGGCCGGGAACUCAAAGGAGACUGCCAGUGAUAAACUGGAGGAAGGUGGGGAUGACGUCAAGUCAUCAUGGCCCUUACGACCAGGGCUACACACGUGCUACAAUGGCGCAUACAAAGAGAAGCGACCUCGCGAGAGCAAGCGGACCUCAUAAAGUGCGUCGUAGUCCGGAUUGGAGUCUGCAACUCGACUCCAUGAAGUCGGAAUCGCUAGUAAUCGUGGAUCAGAAUGCCACGGUGAAUACGUUCCCGGGCCUUGUACACACCGCCCGUCACACCAUGGGAGUGGGUUGCAAAAGAAGUAGGUAGCUUAACCUUCGGGAGGGCGCUUACCACUUUGUGAUUCAUGACUGGGGUGAAGUCGUAACAAGGUAACCGUAGGGGAACCUGCGGUUGGAUCACCUCCUUACCUUAAAGAAGC